UAUAUAUGGAAAAAUUUUUAAUUAAAUUGUCAAUCAAUACUUAAAGUAUCAUCAAGUAAUCUUGAAGAAUUCAAUCUUAAAAAAUAAUUUAAAAAACCAAGGCUGCAAUAUGGCCAAAACUUCAGCAAGAAAAAUUGUCGCAGUAGUAGUUCUAUCUGCAGUAUACUUGUUCGGUAUUGCUCAAGCAGCACCAGCAGCUUCUCCAGGUGGUGGUGGUGGUCUUCUAGGACUAGGUAUUUUAGGUAUUUUGUAAAUUAUCUUUCGAUGAUAGCAAAUCCUAUAAAAUAAUAAAUUAUUAGAUAUUUCUUCUGCAAAAUUC